CGAACGCUGGCGGCAGGCUUAACACAUGCAAGUCGAACGCCCUCUUCGGAGGGAGUGGCAGACGGGUGAGUAACGCGUGGGAACCUACCUAUCAGUACGGAACAACUCAGGGAAACUUGUGCUAAUACCGUAUGCGUCCUUCGGGAGAAAGAUUUAUCGCCGAGAGAUGGGCCCGCGUCCGAUUAGUUAGUUGGUGAGGUAACGGCUCACCAAGACUGCGAUCGGUAGCUGGUCUGAGAGGAUGAUCAGCCACACUGGGACUGAGACACGGCCCAGACUCCUACGGGAGGCAGCAGUGGGGAAUAUUGGACAAUGGGCGCAAGCCUGAUCCAGCCAUGCCGCGUGAGUGAAGAAGGCCCUAGGGUUGCAAAGCUCUUUCACCCGCGAAGAUAAUGACGGUAGCGGGAGAAGAAGCCCCGGCUAACUCCGUGCCAGCAGCCGCGGUAAU
rnacentral:rRNA from 1 species